AACCGUAAAAUCAAUCCACAUCUACAAACGCCAGGGUACUACGAGCCUUAGCUUAAAACCCAAAGGACUUGACGGUGUCCCACCCAACUAGAGGAGCCUGUUCUAUAAUCGAUGAUCCACGAUAUACCAAACCAUUUCUCGCCAUUCAGCCUGUAUACCUCCGUCGAAAGCUUACCGUAUGAACGCACAUCAGUAGGCCAAAGGACUCUAACGUCACAACGUCAGGUCAAGGUGCAGCUAAUGAAAUGGAAGCAAUGGGCUACAAUUUCUAAAUUAGAACAAACGAAACACUACAUGAAACAUAGUCAUGAAGGCGGAUUUAGCAGUAAGUAGGAAAUAGAGAGUCCUACUAAACAUGGCCCUGGGAUGUGUACAAACCGCCCGUCACCCUCUUCGAUAGUUUUAAUAUAGUUUAUAACACACCAACACGCCUUAGAAGAGGCAAGUCGUAACAUGGUAAGUAUACUGGAAAGUGUACUUGGAAUAACAAAAUGUAGCUUAAC
rnacentral:rRNA from 1 species